AUGACGUUGACUUGCUCAGAAAUUUGUCGCCCUCUAGUGGCAGCUGAUUUUUGGUUCGAUGGAGCAAGCUGAGUUUGUUUGUUACCGAAUGUUUUGAUUUGUCAAAAAUCGUAUUCUGAGGGAUAUUCAGUUCACAAAAGGGCACAGAGGUCAGUAUAUUUAUAUAUAUGAUGUUUGCUUGCAAUUAAGUGCUGUUAUGUAAAGGAUUAUGAAGAUUAAUUUGGAUAUAAAGCCAAGUCUGGCUGUAUGUAGCGAUACGUUCAUGUACACGUGUAAUGUGCGACUGUGUAGGAAUUUACGUAGAACGGUAAAUUCAUUUAUGAAAUAUUGGAUAAAGUGAAGAGUAAUGACUGAUAUAUAUAUGACUUAUGACUGUAUGAGACAGGUUUCAUUUAUCAUAGUUAUGAAAGUACUUGUAUUAGGGUAAUUUAGGACAAAGAUAAAUGAAGUUUACAAGGAAGGGUCUGGAAGGAUCUACACUUUCUACUUACAUAGAAAGGCAUAUGUGGGGCAAUGAAAAGUCAUUAUUCUUUCGUUAUUGGAGUUGGAUUCAAUUUAGUUAGGCUGUCAAGUUACAAGGAGCCAUGGAAGCCUUAUAAAUUGUAUGACAUAAUGAUUAUAACGAUUGGCAAGGGUUUAUAGCCAAGAUUAUUUGCGUAGAUGAUUCUGUGAUCGAUCGAAACUGUAAUCGAUAUAAAUGCUCAUUUCCUUAUUUGGUAACGUAUUGAAGCAUUGCAGUUGUGGUUAGAUUCAUUUGCAUAUUUACUUAUUAUGCUUGCAAUUUUUGUCUUUGUCAUACAGUUUUCACGGAGUUACAUGGAUGGAUACGGAGACGUAAAAUAAAGAUUGACAACUCCCGUAAAAGCUUGUGUCUGACUGAAUUUAUUGGGUUUUCGUGAUCGACAACAGUUACAGUGAAAACUCUUCCACAGUGAAUCCCUACCAGAAGAUUCCUUGUUUCUGCCGAGACUGGGAAGCUACAGAGACACCUGUUAAUCAUGACUGAAGAACAACCUGCUCAGCAGAAGCGACAGUCAGUCCCUACAGAAAGGAGCAUCGAAUACCAGCUCGAUCUGAAGACUAAGAACUUCAGAAGCAGUGUGACCUCCUGGCGACGUAAGGCCAACAAGCUAAGAGCUGCACUAAUAGAUGAUGUUGGUUUUUCUGACGUCAAGGCUCUUCGAGAUGGGUUACAAGUACUGAUGGACACUGUCAUCAAUGGGCAGGAGAACCUCGCUGAGUUACGAUUGUCCUCCGAGAUAGCUGAUGAUAGUGAGGACAAAUUAGAGGAAGUUGAGAAAGAACACAGUUCAAUCAUGAAAAGCACUCUUGAAAGGAUGAUUGUUCUAAAGGAAGAUGAAAGAAGCGAUGAAGCAUCUUUGAGGCAGGCAGUCACUCCAGACGAAUCAUCACCUGUUGACCCACCUGUUGACCCACCUGUUCGCGAGACUCCACCCACUGAUCCUUUGAUUCUCUUUGCAGAACAGUUGAGAGCCUCAAGAUUGCCUCUACCUGAACCGACCGCAUUUGAUGGCGAUCCCCUCUUGUAUCCAGGUUGGAAACACGCCUUCGACGUUUUAAUUGAUCGCAGUGGCAUCACGCCUAUGGACAGGUUCUUCUACCUUGAAAAGUACCUGAAGGGUCAACCCCUAGAACUAGUGAAAGGAUAUGCUUUAAUCGACAACGAAAUAGCAUAUCAUGAUGCCAGAAAGGCUUUGGAAGAACGUUACGGAAAUUCCUUUGUCAUAGCUAAAGCCUUUCGAGACAAGAUAGAGAGGUGGCCUCGAAUAGCCACAAAGGAUGCACCUGGUUUGAGGAAGUUCUCUGAUUUCCUACGGCAGUGUGUAACAGCAAUGGACAAAAUUCAGAACCUCCAUCAUCUGAAUGACGACAGAGAAAUUCGUAAGAUCCUGACCAAGUUACCUGAAUGGUUAGUUGUACGCUGGUCCAGGAAGGCCUAUCACUGGGCAGACAGCUAUGGCGGCUUUCCCCCUUUCAAGCUCUUUGCCGGUUUCAUCGAGGAGGAGUCAAAGAUUGCUUGUUGUCCCAUCACCUCUGUUUAUGGAUUGAGGGAAUUAAGAUACGAGAGAGUAAAUGCAGCAGCAUCAGAAGUCAGAACAUUAGCAACUGAUGCUACUAGCAGUAGGAAUCAGAAAGGAAUGGGUGAUGGAAAGCAGCAAUGGACUGUAUCCUGCUUGCUCUGCAAGAAGUCCCACUCCUUAGAAGAGUGCCCUACCUUUUCAACAUGGGAGAUGGCAGAGAAAAAGAAAUUUAUCGUUGAAAAGGGCUUGUGCUAUGGGUGUCUAAAGGUUGGCCAUCGAUCAAAUGAAUGCAAGAAGAGAAGCACUUGUAAGGAGUGUAAAAGGAGACACCCAACAGCACUCCACGUUAAAGACUGGGUAAAGGUUAAUUCUUUAAAUGAAUCAUCAAAUGAAGAUACAACCCAAGACGAAGUGAGAUCAUCAAGCACACACACUUCAAAACGAAGCAAUGGUAAAGAAACUCUCAAAAGCUCAAUGAUAGUUCCAGUGUGGUUGUCACACCAUUCUGCUAUCGAGCCAAGACUUGUUUACGCACUCUUGGACACACAAUCAGAUACUACUUUCAUCUUGGAUGAAACCAAGCAAGCAAUGGGACUGAGAGGUACCUCAGUUAACUUACGACUCUCAACGAUGUCAGCAGUGAAUGAGAAAGUAUCUAGCAUCAAAGUAGAGGAACUGGAAGUUACAUCUUACGAUGGCAAAAACAAGAUUUGUUUGCCUCCAGCCUUCACGAGAAAGAUCAUACCUGCAAAUCGGAACCAUAUUCCCACGUCGGAUAUGGCAGCAUCCAUUCCCCAUCUGAGUAAGCUACAGUAUGAGGUUCCUGCAGAACAGGGAUGUGAGAUAGGACUACUGAUUGGUUAUGACUGUUCUAAGGCUCUUAUGCCUCGUGAUGUGAUACCUUCGUCAACCAGUGAUGGACGAUACGGUGUUCGCACAGAUCUUGGAUGGAGCAUCGUUGGUAUGUUUGACGAGAAUUAUGAUGGCUACAUCAACGACCCUAUUGGAGUGAGCCACAGAGUAAAGGUCUGCAUGGUCCCAGAGGACUUGCAAGGGGUCCAAGGUCAUGAGGAAGUCUCUUUCUCUCAUCGUCGACUAGUGAAGGAAGAGAUUGCCCCAACUCAAGUAGUGAAGCUUCUCGAGGCGGACUUCAUGCAAGGCACAGAGAGUAAACCUUACUCGCAGAACGACGUUAAGUUUCUCAAACUGGUGGAAAAGACGAAUAUGUGCAAUAAUAACCAGUAUCCUGUCAUUAAGCCUAUGGCUACUGAGAUGCUCACUCAAGCUGAAAAGGAAAUUCUGAAGCAUGUUCAGAAUGAGGACUUUCCAGAUGGAAUUCCAGAUGAAAUUCGUCAACUCCGAUGUGACAGAGGGACCAACAUUGUUGGCGCUGAAGCAGAGCUCAAGAAAGCUUUGAAGGAGAUGAACCAUGAUCCAGUGAAGAGUCAUCUCUUGAAAGAAGGAUGUGACUAUAUCAAGUUCAACUUUAACCUUCCAGCUGCAAGCCGUAUGGGAGGGGUCUGGGAGCGCCAAGUGUUGGAAGCGUUACUUCAACAGCAUGGUAGACAGUUAGAUGAUGAAGCUUUAUGCACCCUGAUGUGUGAAGUGAUGGCCAUUGUUAACAGCCGCCCUCUCACCGUGGACUUCAUCAAUGAUGGAACUUCAACAGAACCGCUUACUCUGAAUCACCUACUUACGCAAAAGUCGAAGGUGAUACUCCCACCAUCUGGCAACUUUCUGCGACAAGACGUGUAUCUGCAUAAGUCCUGGAGAAGAGUGCAACAUCUUGCGAAUCAAUUUUGGUGUCGUUGGCGUCAGAAGUGGACCCGUCUAGAACGCGAAAUGAGAGUCGGAGACUUGGUCGUUGUUAAGGAUAACAAUACUCCUAGAAACGCAUGGCCAAUGGAUAGGAUCGCUGAAACUUAUCCCUCGGAUGAUAAGCAUGUUCGUAAGGUUAAGAUCGCAAUGGGUGAACAGAAACUGAAUGCAGUAGGAAAGCGAACUACCCCAUGUUCUUACCUUGAGCGUCCGAUUCAUAAACUAAUAUUACUUGUCCCACAGGAAGACCAGGAGUAAUUCCCGGACAAGGAGCCAUAGCGUAACUUUGCGAAGAUUAUUUUUAAUUUCACUCGUUUAAGGGAAAUUUAUGACCUGAAGUCAUGUUUGUAUCAUAUAUGGAUGAAGAUGACAUUGAGUCAUUAAAAUAUGAUCCAUGAACUCCUGAAUUUAUUUGAACUGGACCAAAUGAAGGUCUGAACUCAGAGACUAGAGACUCACAUUUUCUUUGGGUCUGAACUCAAAGACUAAUAUCUUGUACAUUUGAGACUGAAUUGAGAGACUAGUACUUUUUACUUUGAUCUGGGUCUUAAUUUAAAGACUAGGGUUUGGUACGAUUUGUGUCUGACAUCCAAAAUUAAGCUAUGCGCAAUGUUGGGCCUGACUUUAAAAAUGGUCCAUUUUGCAUGAAGGGUCUGUAGGAAAGACUAAGACUAAUUUAUGCAUGAUAUUGUUUUUUGUCUGGUUUUGAAUUACGGUAACUGGAAAUUUUUUAUUUCAGUUUAGGCUUGACAAGAAGUCUGAAAGUAAAGACUAGAAAUGUAUUGCUUUGAAGAAACCCUUAGUAUGAUUUUGAUUUCAGAAUCAAUCGGGAAUGCAAUUAUUUGUCAUGGUUUAGAGUUGUAAAUUCUUCUGCGCACUGAAGGAGUAGAAUUUCUGGAUAGUUUGCAUUCAGUAAGUUUAUCAUACCCGGUCAAGUCAACGGCAAAUUAUUUAUGCAGGUUGAUGCUAACUUUUGAGUAUUUCAAUUUGAUUUGAAGGGAGUACAGGUAUAGUGUCCAGAAAUCGGAAGAAUUCAAGUGUUUUUUUUUUUUUUUUUUGGCCUAUGAAAAUGACAAUUGGUCAAUAAGUUGUUUUUGUCAUUUUCAAUGUUCACUUGUGUGUAUAAGGAAGUCAUAGUUUUUUCAUGACUACAGGGCAAUCAGUGAAUUUACACCAGUUCGGAUCUAUAAGAAUUUGUAAAUGUGCUUGUGCUCAUUUAAAACGGUUUGAUAGGAAUUUAAUACUUACAUGUUAUUUCUUGAUAAUUGGUGACAUAGAUUACAUUCCAUCUGAUAUUCCAGACCAGUGGUCAGAACCUUGUUAUUUUACUUAAAUGUGAAAAAUUACUUGCUGAAUGAUAUUCCACAUAUUAAUUUGCAUACUUUAGCUUGAUGUAAUAUCAUGCAUGUAUAUAAUGUGAAGUACGUACUGUAGAAAUUUUUGAUCUCUGUGGAGUUAUCGGUUAAUAACUGGCAAAGAAAUACCUAUAGAGGGUAAAUUAGUUUCAGUUUUUCAACUGAUUUAAAGGAGCCAUGUAGAUGACGUUGACUUGCUCAGAAAUUUGUCGCCCUCUAGUGGCAGCUGAUUUUUGGUUCGAUGGAGCAAGCUGAGUUUGUUUGUUACCGAAUGUUUUGAUUUGUCAAAAAUCGUAUUCUGAGGGAUAUUCAGUUCACAAAAGGGCACAGAGUUUUCACGGAGUUACAUGGAUGGAUACGGAGACGUAAAAUAAAGAUUGACAACUCCCGUAAAA